CGCCACGCCCCCCUCCCCGCGCGAAGACGCCUCGCGCCGCCGGCCUCGCUGAUUGGCCGAAGCUUCCCCAGCCGGGAUCCGCGCGAAAGAGGCUUACCCGAGGAGAUGUGUGCCAGAUGAGACUGAUGCAUUGCACAUUGUUGACAAAAUGGAGGAUGAGGAGACUUCAGAUGGGCCGGGUGAAAUUUCCGCAUGGGACAAUAGUGCAAACUCAGAAUAGGAAUGGGUCUGAUGAUUAAAGAAGAGGGAUGAGACGAUGGCACGGAAGACAGACAGCAAAACACAGAAAGGGGACGGAAAUACGAAACAUCUACAACAAUGCAAAAAUCUAUGCAACUAGCAGCCAAGAACGUCACAAGUGGGAAACUUUUUAUGACAUAGGGAAUUCUGAAGAAACAUCUGUUCUCCUCUUCCUGAAAGAGUUCUAUGAAUAUUUCUUGCCUAAUAGACUUACUCACUUAGUGGCAUGACCUCUUUGGCAGUACUCAGAACUGCCCAUCUAAUAUUGAGAAAUGCACAAGACUAAUCAAGACUCAAGUCUAAGUGCACGUCUCAAACAGGAGAAUCACAGGAUUCUC